UAAUACGUAGGGGGCAAGCGUUGUCCGGAUUUACUGGGCGUAAAGCGCGUGUAGGCGGAGCGUUAAGUCUGGCUUGAAAGCCCCCAGCUCAACUGGGGAGAGUGGCUGGAAACUGGCGUUCUUGAGGGCGACAGAGGAGUGUGGAAUUCCUGGUGUAGCGGUGAAAUGCGUAGAGAUCAGGAGGAACACCCGUGGCGAAGGCGGCACUCUGGGUCGCACCUGACGCUGAGACGCGAAAGCGUGGGGAGCGAACGGGAUUAGAUACCCCGGUAGUCCACGCCGUAAACGAUGGUCACUAGGUGUGUGCGGUAUCGACCCCGCACGUGCCGGAGCUAACGCAAUAAGUGACCCGCCUGGGGAGUACGGCCGCAAGGUUG
rnacentral:rRNA from 1 species